AUGGGUUCCGGAGCAGAGACAGUAGGUUUUCCGAUGGCAAGGUCAAUGGGCAAGUUCAUCUCCCGGCCGAACAUCAUCAUAGAUGGAGUGAAACCUGUGCUUGAGUGUAUGCUGGAGUUGUAAGCCAGUACCAGUAAAGGCAGGAGCUGUAUAAUACGAUUCAGUGCAGUCCGGAGUCUGGAGGAAGCUUAAUUAACAUAAAGGUCCUUAAGUUCA